UUGUUAUUCAAACUGAGUUGAUGUUUUGUUAGAGUUUGACCCCACUGUGUGGAAGGUACCCAUUUCUUGACUAUACUGAUAAACCAUUAGGGCACUGUUUGGAUCCUGCUUGUCCAUUUUGAGUGUUGUUUGGUCACCUUGACUGUCUCAUUGAAUUAGUUGGGCAUUUCCAUAGGGUCUCUACAGGAGCAGAGACAGCCAGCACAGACAGACCUGCCCUUGCUGACCAGUGAGGGAGUGGGGAGGCAAGGGACUGGGAACCCAAGCCUCUAGCUUGCAUUGGGCAGGGGACCAUGAAGAUGCUCCUGCUCAUCUCCCAGUAACUGGGGCCUCUCCCUGGAAUCCACAGGCUGUGCGGCCAGGACCUUCUUCCCAUGGACUUCCUUCCACGUGUGAGAGCAAAGAAGAGCAACAGCCCCACCACCACCACCACCCCUCACUGGACAAAGGAAGAGCCUGCCCCUCAGACACAAGAAAGGAGGUUGGCAUUUGGAGAGACUGAACAGGAGGAGAAAAAAAGAAGUAGGAGAGAGUGAGGACAAUCACCCUGCCUGGACUGAACUGGAGAAAGCUAGAAUGGCCAUUUGGAGUCAUCCUGUAAGGGAAAGGGAAGGAGCAUCGGCAGCCUCAACCAGCAAAUGACAGCUCCUCAGCUGGGCCAUGGGAGACUGAGGCUCAGAAGCCUGACCCAUCCGC
rnacentral:lncRNA from 1 species